ensembl:lncRNA
CUCGGCUCCAGGAACGUGCCGAACAGACUGUUGAAAAAUAUUGUUACUUAACUUCUGAACCGUUCCCAUCGGAUUAUUUGAGAUUGGACUUUCCAUCAAUACCGUUUGAUUAAAGCACGCGGUGUACUUUUUAAAUCCCCACUCCUUUUGAUGGACUGACCAGUAACGUCGGGUGACACAUGCGUCACACACAAUGACUGCCUGUGAACGACAGACAGGAGGCUCCCUCUCUCGGGCUACAGUGAGCCGCCUUAAAGAAGGGGCCCCACGUCCUGCGAUCCUUACACCCUGUGCAGGUGAGAGGAGAGCGGUCCAAUAGGUGUGGGUGGGAGACUUGAAAGUCAGGUUUUUCCUGGCUGGCGGAAAGAGUUCCCCGCGUGGACUGCGGAUGGAUGGAGAUCUGAUGGCGGGGGCCCUGCCAGCCAUUCGUCUGGAGGCACCGACAGCAAACAAACAAUCGUACAAAAGCGGAGGAAUCCCCCCGAUGAGCGAUUCGCUCAAACGAUCGUUCGUCAUCCCUGACCUGUGACACGGGAAGGAGUAGUAGAGGCCAGUAGAACUGUAUACGGACUGAAAUAAACAGCGGCUUUGUCGAAAGACACAAACCUGCCAGUCGAUAAAGUUGCGCAAUGAGACGCAAGAUGAAGUGGCCGCACUGUUGCCCCGGGUCCUGUGUGGGAGUAGAGAGGCUGGCUUUGACAUGCAAUGCUACAUGCAAGAUGGCUCUCAGCUAAUAGGCAGGUGAGUACAUGCACAUGCACACCCCCCCCCCCCCCCCCGCCCCACACUUACACAAACAUGGAUACGAACUCACUAGUCGUACAGUGAAAGACGUCAUUGACAUAACAGUGGAAAGGCAGGAGUAAAGUGCAAAGGGGACAUGAUGAGCUCAAAUAUACGUUUUAAUAUAUUUUUCCUGAAAGAUUUGGUAAAAGCGUUUAACAGUGAAGUCGUGCGGCCUGUUUUGUUAACGUUUGACAGUGACACAUGGGGCUUAAGGGACGUCUCUGACUGAUGACAAAGCGUGAAUAUCACGGCUACGGUUGGCACAUAAAUCCCGUUUUAGAUCCUCGGGGCCGUGACUCAUAACACCAAAACCAACACUCGAUAGUUUUGGUUUGGUUGUUGCCGGCUCUCCUCUUUCGCGCUGCCGGGAACAAACGGGAAACUUCCAGCCGCCUGCGUACUGUACAGCCCGGAUCCCAGGGAGGCCGGAGGGACCUGGGGAGGGUGAGAAGGCAACCGGGGGGGAGGCGGGAAAGGGGAGGAGAAGACUUUCAGGGUGCCGAGAGUUUUUUGGGGCUGAGCGGGUCUAUUUGGCCCCCAGCAGAUUGCCCCCCUCUCCUGCCCUCCCCUCCUCUUCCUCCUCCUCCUCCUCCACCCCUCUCCUCCCCCUGGCUUUGUGUGCCCUGAGCCCACUCCUCCCCCUUUUGUCACCCGGGCAUUCCGCUUUGGUUAGCACACACAAUGGGCGCUCAGUGCUCACCCUCCUGACACUGCAUUCUGCCUGUGCACCAGGGAGUGGGCACGGGAGGGGGAGGCAAUGGGGUCCGGAGGGGGGGAAGGGGAGGGGAGGGUUAGAGGAUGACAGCGACUCACCCCAUGUGACCAAAAAUGCCAUCAAGCAUCGACUCCCCCCCCCUCCCCCCUCUCCCUCCCUCCCUCCCCUGCUCCGAAGGCCGUCGUGUAACUUCACCCAUGCAGAUGGGCAGCAGAAGUAGUGCCAGCGGGCCUGGUUGGCACGGCGGGAGAAAACACACCCCCCCCCCCAAAAAAAACCUUGUGUUCGCUAAAGCAAACAAACGAACAGGUGUCUCUCGUGGCUGACUGGAGCCCUGCCUCCAUCCAGGGGUCCGCGUGCCCGGCUACACGUGUGUUCCCUUCGACUUCGUCGUGCCGGCCACGCGUCCUGAGCGGGAUUUUAAGACCUGGCUUCGGGAACAUUUCUGUCUGAAAAUGAAUCCCUUACAUCGACAACGGCAGUGGUGGAGUUGGCCCAAUUACAAGUCCAGGCUUUAACCGCUUUGACGUGUUUAUCAAAUAUUUGGAACUCUUCCUGGCCCUCCGGCGGGUUUUUUGGCCCUGAUGAUAUAAUGGCAUAGUUUGACCUGUCAUGGCUUCUGUUAUUUUGUAAAUAGCUGCACGUGCACAACUGCCAAACAAAUGAUUGCACUUAAGUAAAGUAAUACAUUGUGGCCAUAAACACAGAAGGAAACCCUCGACUGUAAAUAGAGCAGCUUCCUUUCCCAUCUGUCCAUUGACAUGACCCUUUCUUAUUAAUUGAACCCUCAACAAACACUGCCUAAUCAUAUGUCACCUGAAAGAACCUCAGGUGCAAAAGUUUGAGAGUGAAGUUGCAGAACAUGUAACUUGAAUUGCUAUUUAAGCACAGCAACAAGUGGAGGAUGACGGGGUCCGUGCAUGUGUGUGUGUGUGGCAGCAGCUCAGGAGCUGGUGGGGGGUUAGUUUGGGUUUCAAAGACCCUGCUUGUUCGCCCAUAUUUCACACCACGGUGACAUCUUAAAGCCCAGACAGGCCUGGUUGCUUCGCCCUCUCUUUCACUUUCUGAGAAAAAAGGGGAAUUGGGAUGUGAGGGAGGGGGUAACUGAAAUAUAUGCAAAUGGUCCCCCAGAGGGGAUACGAAUUUUAUGGGUUUAGAAUUUAGUUCAGCCAACCUGAAUAAUCAAAUGUGGGAACAAAAAAAAAAAAAAAAACGAGAACCCCCACCAUCCCGCCACCGCAACUCCAUACCUCGAGCUUCAACCCCCCACCUCAGGCCUCAUCUCUGUCCCCUCCUGCCAGGUCCUCGCAUAAGAGGAGCUCAGUACGUCCAAACUCUUAUUAGGAUCUCCUUACGAGGCAGGGGAAUGGAAGAGAAAUGAGGGGAGGGGGGGAGGAAGAAAGGGGUCGGUGAGUGGAGGGGGCACCAAAGAGAAGGAAGGGAGAGAAGAGGGGCUAGUGUACCUGAUCAGGCAGAACCAGCCGGCUCCUGAUUACGACACCAUUUUCUCAGCAGGUUUCUCAGCCUCAUCCUGCUUCUGUGAAUAUGGAGCACGGGGCCAGCCAAUCCCCUCGGCGCUGCCUCUCGUCUAAUGGCAGAAUUAAGACCGUUUAGAGUGAUUUCCUCUGCCUUCAUGGUCGCACUCUGAAAGAGACGAAUCUUUUUUUUUUUUUCUUUUGCGCCGAUUUACAAUGUGGGGGGUCCGGCAUGCAACGGGUGAGAGGAAAAGUUCUACAUGACUGAACAUAACACUACAACAGGUGGGGAAACGAACCGAGUCUGAGAGCGAUUUCACUUGGCAUUUGCCUCCGUGUUUUGCGUUGAACCCUCGGUUCAGUUCCGAGGGAAAAGUUCACCUUCUCAGCACACUUACCUUCGUGUGGGUUUGUUAGUACACAAGCAGCUUUUUCAGGGGACCCUCGAACACACGACCACGAUGCUCCGCCUGUUGUCUCCGUCACUGUGCAUUUGGUUCUGAACACGUAGAUGUAAAUCUGUAAUUCCAAUAAGCGAAGCUACUGGGUUGAUCACACGAAAGCUUUUAUUUUAACCGCUUCAUAGAGUUCUUCUGUUACAACACUAAAUGCGUUGUGUCUGCACGUCGUUUGAGGAGGUUUUAAAUAAAGAUCCUCUAAAUAUGACAGUAACUUUACAGAAGAUUGAGGCUGAACAAACAGUUCACAACGCAUUCAUUAGGAAAGAUAUAUUGAAUAACUGGACCGCAACCAUUGAUGCAUUCGACUUAACAGAUAAAAGCUUCAUCCAGAAGAUUUUUCUGAAUUCCCUUUCGAUGCUUAAAAAUAUUUUGUCAUUAAUAAAUCUAAAAACAUUAUAAAAAUGACACCAUGUUGAUUUAAUGUAAUGAGAUCAGUUUUACUUUAUUGAGACACUUAAUGUCACACCUCUUCUCGUAGAAAUCUUGACCAACUUUGGGCUGAUUUCUAAAAUUGCACAAAGAUCAGGAAACAUUUAUUGUCAAAAUAAAUGUUGACCUUUCUGAACCACCUGGUUUUCGUGGGACAGUUGAGAGUUGUGAAUGCUCGAUACAUGUAAUCCCUGAAUGGAAAUAAGGCUGCCAAAGGUUGAAAGCUGAUCGUGCGUCAGAUAAAACUGAUUCGUAAUGACACCAACCCAAACAGGGUGUAAAUCUGGACGCAAAUCUGCUUAAACUCACUCCUCCUUUGUCAAACUGCAUUACGUCAAGCACAUCACUCCGACUAUAACAUAGCGCCAUAUCAAACAACCGCAGUUGGAACCUGUUGCCUUUGUGUUCCCUUUUCUUAAUGAUUCCCCCACUCCCCCCCCCCCCCAACCUCCGGCAGACAAAUCCUUCAGCUUUAUUGCCCGGACUCAAGGGCUGCAGGUGCACAGGCCACAAAAGGGAGAGGAGGGGAGGGGGUUGGAGGAAGGGUAAGGAAAGAGAAUGGUCAGCCGGGAGAUAAGAGAGGACCUUUGCACCCGCCCAUCCUCACCCCGGACCCGGCCUUUACCCCUGCAACACCUCUCCGUUUGGCUCCACUGCUUCGCCACACGUGACAGGGGAAGGCAAACGGCGAGUGGUGCCGCCUGGCGCUACCAGGCUUCUGUGUGUGUGUGUGUGUGUGUGUGUGUGUGUGUGUGUGUGUGUGUGUGUGUGUGUGUGUGGCAGGGGACGGGGCAGGCGUGGCAGAGUGGCCAAGUGGCUGCAGCGGCCCUUUUCUUCUAGAGCAGCAGAGGAGCAGUAAUGACUAGGAGCUACAGCUGUGCCCACUGAGGCUUGCCUACACCUUUCCCUGCAGCGGCCCCUCCACCUCAUCUCGCCUCUGGCCUCCGCCGCCGAGGGAGGGAAGCUACGGAGUGGGAGGGUUCCGUCUUUUACUCCUACUUGCUCUACAACAGAACUAUGAAGAAUAGGUAUUUCCCAUUUAAGAAACACAGAUCAACUCUACUCAUACGUAGACUCUCUUCAUUCAUUGCAGAAAAAUGCGUGUCCCCUGUUCACAGGAUCCGUCCUCAAGGCGACAGUCCAAAACGGAAACGCACAAGGAGCAAGACUGUGGGUUCAGCGUCUUGCUCAAGGACACUUGGACGAAUGUGGCCGAACCUUGUGAUUAAGGGCAGACCCGCUCUGCAACGAGUCACAGCACCAAACUCUGAGUUUGUUGUAUUUGAGUUUAUCACUGUCCCUUAAUCUAAGGGGAAAUUAAGUGAAAGUUAUCUGAUUCAAUCUGGUGUGUAUAUGUGUGUGUUAUAAAAACUAAUUGUGUUCAAAGUGUUACUUGGCUGAUUGUCAAAGUCACUAAUUAUGAAUGUGUCAGUGAGUAUGCACCACACGGUGUUUUCCUCACCCAAAAUAGUUUGACCUAUUUCCUAUUCUUUGUCAAUUUAUAAAUACAUUUUUCAGUAUGCCCCCAUUUCAUUGGUACAUGUUGACCUGUAGGGACUGGGCUGAAAAACAGAUCCUCUGCUUGUAUUUGCAUCAAAGGGUGGCAUGGAAACCGUGCGUGAGAUCAAAGGGUUUGCCUGUGGUUUAAAUGAGUCAGGUUUAGGGAUGGCCUGAAUAUGACACAACGUGUGAGUCACAGAAAGAAAGAAAAUAAGAGCACAAUGCAGAUGAAAAAACACCUGCACCUUACAGGGGGGAAAAAAAUAAACAUGCGCAUUGGGUUCAAGCACUGUGUGUGCCUCCAUGUUUCCACAUGUAAACUUAAAAGCGCAUUAUGCAAGUACAUAUAGGCACACACCAACCCGUCUUGCGCUAAUGGAGCCGCUGUGCCGGGGACACACCCUUGGGGACAGGAAGAACAGGCCGCUCCAGAGCAUCUGAGACACAGUGGCACCACACUAGCAUGAUGACUCUUUAACGUCUGCUUAUCUUCAUCCCUAAUCCUUGGGCUUCUUCGCCACCAGCUCCUGUUUGCUCCAUGCACAAGUCAAGAGUAAAAGCGGAGAAUGGACUUUCUUCAUUUUGUAAUGACUGGAGUCCACUAGAAAGCCAUUGAGGAAAGGCCUCCAGUCUGGUGGCAGCCUCGUAUUGAAUACGGAUUGAAAUUUACAUGACAACUUAGGAAAAAUGCUUUUUUAUUACUCAUUCAUCCCCUAAAUCACUCUGCGCCCCCCCCCCCCCCCCCCCGCGCCUUUCCUCUGCCUGAGCUAUUAAAUCACCAUCUUGACCCUACGACCUGGGGCCGCAACCAUAAAGAGCCCCCUGCGGGUCAGAGGCCUGAUUGUAACAUUUGAAUAUGAAAUAGCCUCGGUCGGGCCUGGAAACAGCCCCAUGCUCCGAGACAGAGGCUGACCCCCAAGAGAGAGGCCUGCCUCAGCAGCCCCGGGCCGAGAAGGCUCCCCCCUCCCAUCUCUCAGCCGAGAUUUACUUGGCCUU